CACGUAGUUAGCCGGUGCUUUUUCUGCAGGUACCGUCACUUUCGCUUCUUCCCUGCUAAAAGAGGUUUACGACCCGAAGGCCUUCGUCCCUCACGCGGCGUUGCUGCAUCAGGCUUGCGCCCAUUGUGCAAUAUUCCCCACUGCUGCCUCCCGUAGGAGUCUGGGCCGUGUCUCAGUCCCAGUGUGGCCGGUCACCCUCUCAGGCCGGCUACCCGUCGUCGGCUUGGUGAGCCGUUACCUCACCAACUACCUGAUAGGCCGCGAGUCCAUCCUUGACCGAAAUUCUUUCCAGCAACUCACCAUGCGGUGGAAGCUCGUAUCCGGUAUUAGACGCCGUUUCCAGCGCUUAUCCCAGAGUCAAGGGCAGGUUACUCACGUGUUACUCACCCGUUCGCCACUAAUCCACCCAGCAAGCUGGGCUUCAUCGUUCGACUUGCAUGUGUUAAGCACGCCGCCAGCGUUCAUCCUGAGCCAGGAUCAAACUCU
rnacentral:rRNA from 1 species